AUGAACGCUGGCGGCGUGCUUAACACAUGCAAGUCGAACGAAGCUUGAGUCUGAAAUUUUUCGGAAGGACAGAUGAUAUGACUGAGUGGCGGACGGGUGAGUAACGCGUGGGUAACCUGCCCUGUACAGGGGGAUAACAGCCAGAAAUGGCUGCUAAUACCGCAUAAGCGCACAGGAAGACAUCUUCCAGUGUGAAAAACUCCGGUGGUACAGGAUGGGCCCGCGUCUGAUUAGCUGGUUGGCGGGGUAAUGGCCCACCAAGGCAACGAUCAGUAGCCGGUCUGAGAGGAUGAACGGCCACAUUGGAACUGAGACACGGUCCAAACUCCUACGGGAGGCAGCAGUGGGGAAUAUUGCACAAUGGGGGAAACCCUGAUGCAGCAACGCCGCGUGAGUGAAGAAGUAUUUCGGUAUGUAAAGCUCUAUCAGCAGGGAAGAUAAUGACGGUACCUGACUAAGAAGCUCCGGCUAAAUACGUGCCAGCAGCCGCGGUAA
rnacentral:rRNA from 1 species